AUCCAGCUGACGAGUCCCAAAUAAGACUAAACGUGCGUUAUGGAU
rnacentral:hammerhead_ribozyme from 1 species